GUAGGGAAUAUUGGGCAAUGGUCGGAAGACUGACCCAGCCAUGCCACGUGCAGGAAGACGGCCCUCUGGGUUGUAAACUGCUUUUAUCUGGGAAGAAAAAGGCCAUGCGUGGCAAAUUGCCGGUACCAGAUGAAUAAGCACCGGCUAACUCCGUGCCAGCAGCCGCGGUAAUACGGAGGGUGCGAGCGUUGUCCGGAUUUAUUGGGUUUAAAGGGUGCGUAGGCGGCUGAUUAAGUCAGCGGUGAAAGACUUCGGCUUAACCGGAGCAGUGCCGUUGAUACUGGUUGGCUUGAGUGUCGGAGGGGUACAUGGAAUUGAUGGUGUAGCGGUGAAAUGCAUAGAUACCAUCAGGAACACCGAUAGCGAAGGCAUUGUACUGGCCGACAACUGACGCUGAUGCACGAAAGUGUGGGGAUCGAACAGGAUUAGAAACCCGUGUAGUCC
rnacentral:rRNA from 1 species